rnacentral:lncRNA from 1 species
CUACCUAACUCAAAACCCAAACUUGUUAUUUUAAAAAAAGACCAACGAAUCAGUUGUUACUACUUUCUAAUCCUGGGCCCAAAGAGCCCAAACCACAUGCCUCAGGCAGAAAUGCCGAAAAUCCCAAACUGGGCCAGAAAUUGGCCCAAGUUAAAAGCUGGCCGGUCGUGUGAGAGAAGCGAGGGAUCGAAUCCUAGGAGCAACAGACCAACGAACUAUCAAGCAUUCAUCAGUGAAUAUUGCUAAAGUUUUUUAAAACAACUAAUCCAAACUAAUUACUAAUAAAUGAACUAGACUAUAAGAAUGAGUCACAUGGAAACCAUAAUCAUUUGGGAAAUCAUUUUACAGGUAUUGAAAUCAAAACUAAUCUUGACCACUAACAGUUAAAGACUGAUAUUUUUACUAAUAUUGUUCAUAUCUAAAUUGUUGAAUUGUCGUAACUGACAUUCCCAUAUUGGAAACAGUUAAGAACUCCAUCUUCAUGAAUUUCAACGAAACCUCCUCGUUAUAUUAAAAGUGCUAGCCGAAUAGCAGUUUAUCUGUUAACAAUCCAAAUGUCCAAACAGUCUACUACAAAGUAACAGUCUAACCGAUCUAUUACAGACAACUCAAAUGUGAAUUCAGCAAAACAAAUCUCCAAAACUAACUACAGUUAACAUGAAUGAUAUUUUAACAAUUAGUCAACAACUCCAGAUGGAUUCAACGAGCAGUUCUUCAUUAUUCAAGGAUUCCGUAGGCAGUUUAUACAAGUGAAUCAAAAGUCUAGGUCAAGGGAUAGUGAGAAUGUACCUGGGAAAGUGAAUUACAACAGGAGGAAGAAGUUAGCAGCAGCAGCGAUGGAGAAUUUCCAAACAAUCAGCAUAGUAAUUUCAACCCUGAAAACAGAUCAGUAGUCCAAAUACCAAACAUGAAGGAGGGAUUGACCAAAACAACAUCAAAGCAGACCAAAUAAACUCAAAUGGCAUCCGAGAAUAUCAUCAAACAUCAAAAUUGCACAAAACCCAGCUUUAAUCAUCCAAAACUGCUCAAUACCAAACCAGCACGAUCAAGAAAACUCCAGUAUUCAAAGGAGAAGAAAAUCGAACAAAACUAAGUCAAAACCCCUAUGUGACAGUACACUUUUGCAGUUUUCUCAUGUUUUCUGCUUUUUUUAUUUUCUUUUGAAACUUAGAACUUAGAAGAGGAUUUAAAUCACCAGUUCUAAUUUUAGAUCUGGAAAUUUAAG